GCUCUCUUAGACGGGAGAGAUGAUUGAUAUCUCCCCUGAUAGGAAUAGGAACAGUUUUCCGGCUUUGCCUAUUAUCAGACACAUCCAGCUAAGCCUACCCACUCGGUGGAUUCUUACCCAAUUUUUU